ensembl:lncRNA
UGGCUGGCUUGUCCCUGGUCCUGGUCGGGGCAAUGUCUCGGCCAACCUACACAGAAAUGGGGUCUUUCACCCACAUAUCCCAGGGCCUGUCUCACACCUCCAUCCUCCUCAUAGUGGUGGGCAUCAUCGUCUCCCUGCAGGUCUUCCUGGGUAGCAUUGGGGCGUGGUCUGACAGCCGUCUGCUCCUUGGAUUGCCUGCAGAUAGUGUCUGGGAUUCUCUUCUAUGUCUUCAGAAACAAGGUGGAGAGAAGGAUCACACUGAAACUUAAUGCGGUGAUCAUGCAGCACAGCCCCAGGGAUAAGGUUGCCAUCAAUGACCUACAACAUGCAGGCUUUGUGCAGGUGAUCAAAGAGUCCCUGAAGAGGAACCUGGUGUGGCUGGGUGCCGCCUGCAUCAUACUGGGUCUCAUAGAGCCUCUGGUCUGAAGGAUGGUGAAGGACGACAUAGAACUGAUAAGACCUCAUUCGGCACUAGGAUUGGCCUACUUUAGUGGUCCCUGUGGUCAGUGGUACAGCGGAGAUCUAUCUGAGAGGUCCGCUUGGCAGAGGGUUUGCUGUGCAGAAGGACCUGUUUUUUUUUUGUGUGUGAUUAUUAUUAGUUGCGCUGCACGUUGACCAUGAACGUCUGGUCUGGAGAGUCUGUCUGUCUCUCCCCAAGGCCUUCCAACAUACAGCUCAACAUGUGCAGCAGGACAGAUGGAACCACCCCCAACAAAAAGAGGAAGAAAAAAACCUCAGGAUUGAAGGAAGGAAAUUAGAAAAUGCGGUCUUAUGCCCUUACCAUAACCACACAACGCUAAGAGUUGCUCAAUCAAUUUGUACUGAUAGUGUGGGCUAAAGUUUUCAACGAGAUGACAUUUCUUUUUCUGAUAUGACUGGUUUAGAGGGCUAGUAGUAAUGUAGUAAUGUCCCAGAAGGAUCUGAUGAGUGGUGCGAGACUGGACAUGACGUUAGGGGGUUGUUGCUUUUCCGAAAAGCUUUGUAGAAAGUGACUCUUCUACUGUUAGUAACUCUUAUGCUGAGUGUUUUUGGAAGGAGAAUAUGUAGAAUGGAUGUGAAUAUUAGUGGGUGUUGUGUGUCUGCUAGAAUAUGGGUUAUUUAUGAGUGUGUGCAUAUGAUAUGGGUGUGUGUGUGUUUAACUCGCACCUCCUUGACGAGGCGCCUCCACCAUUUCUCUCUCUCUCUCUCUUUGGGCAGGGCUCAGAUGGAAGUGAUUACGCUGCACAGGGAGGGAGAAAUUACAGAGAGAACCUACAGAGCUCCAGCCCUUCUCCUUUAUCCACUCACUCAUUCACUCACUUACACAUACAGGCACGCAAUCACAUGCACAGGAACACAUGCCCUGCCGCCAGUUCCACCACCUUGCUUCUGGUGGUACAUUUCCACUCCUGGCUGUGUCAGGACAAUGCGCCAGUGUGCUCCCCUCCUUCUCCUGCCUCCCCUUUCGUGGGCCAAGUGAGUGAGCGAGCGGUGAGGGCCAGGGUUGUAAAUUCCUCCGAAAGAGCAGUUAAGAAGGCUCCCAUUAAAACGGGGAUCGACGCUCGCCAUAAAGGAGCCGAAGAAAUGAGUCAUCACCUGGAGCCUGAAGGGUUCCAGAGCCUGCAGAACCACAGAGGAGAGGAACUGUAGAAAUAGAACGGAUAGAACAUACUGUAUCUUUCAUUUCAGAUGUAUACAACUUAGUCCAACUAAGUUGAGAUGCCAAAGAAGCAUUGUGAUUAGAUGACAUGAGCGUUAUAAUUGUGACAUAAAACAACAAUGUCA